rnacentral:misc_RNA from 1 species
ACGAAAUGGACAAAUGACAAACUGGAACAGCUCGAAAGUUUUAGCGGAGAUCUUGGACUUAAGGUACGCAGUCUCGAGAGUGUUGAUGGGCAGGAUGCGGCGCCAGGGGUGACGGGCAGUGUAGUCUCCGGUCUUCUGGAUGGACAUGGUGAUGAAGUCGGCAUGCUGGAUAUGGUCCUUCAACUGCUAAAGGGCCGCAACAAAGUUAGACUUUGUCACCUGUAGUACUGUGUCGCCUCGCAUGAUGUUCGUCAUGGUCAUUGCCACUGUCGCUCUGCCACCAUCAUAUCCUACUUCUCAAUCCAUG